GGUUAAGCGACUAAGCGUACACGGUGGAUGCCCUGGCAGUCAGAGGCGAUGAAGGACGUGCUAAUCUGCGAUAAGCGCCGGUAAGGUGAUAUGAACCGUUAUAACCGGCGAUUUCCGAAUGGGGAAACCCAGUGUGAUUCGUCACACUAUCAUUAACUGAAUCCAUAGGUUAAUGAGGCGAACCGGGGGAACUGAAACAUCUAAGUACCCCGAGGAAAAGAAAUCAACCGAGAUUCCCCCAGUAGCGGCGAGCGAACGGGGAGGAGCCCAGAGCCUGAAUCAGCAUGUGUGUUAGUGGAAGCGUCUGGAAAGGCGCGCGAUACAGGGUGACAGCCCCGUACACAAAAGCGCAUGUGCUGUGAGCUCGAUGAGUAGGGCGGGACACGUGGUAUCCUGUCUGAAUAUGGGGGGACCAUCCUCCAAGGCUAAAUACUCCUGACUGACCGAUAGUGAACCAGUACCGUGAGGGAAAGGCGAAAAGAACCCCGGCGAGGGGAGUGAAAAAGAACCUGAAACCGUGUACGUACAAGCAGUGGGAGCACCCUUUGGGGUGUGACUGCGUACCUUUUGUAUAAUGGGUCAGCGACUUAUAUUCUGUAGCAAGGUUAACCGAAUAGGGGAGCCGUAGGGAAACCGAGUCUUAACCGGGCGUUAAGUUGCAGGGUAUAGACCCGAAACCCGGUGAUCUAGCCAUGGGCAGGUUGAAGGUUGGGUAACACUAACUGGAGGACCGAACCGACUAAUGUUGAAAAAUUAGCGGAUGACCUGUGGCUGGGGGUGAAAGGCCAAUCAAACCGGGAGAUAGCUGGUUCUCCCCGAAAGCUAUUUAGGUAGCGCCUCGUGAAUUCAUCUCCGGGGGUAGAGCACUGUUUCGGCUAGGGGGCCAUCCCGGCUUACCAACCCGAUGCAAACUGCGAAUACCGGAGAAUGUUAUCACGGGAGACACACGGCGGGUGCUAACGUCCGUCGUGAAGAGGGAAACAACCCAGACCGCCAGCUAAGGUCCCAAAGUCAUGGUUAAGUGGGAAACGAUGUGGGAAGGCCCAGACAGCCAGGAUGUUGGCUUAGAAGCAGCCAUCAUUUAAAGAAAGCGUAAUAGCUCACUGGUCGAGUCGGCCUGCGCGGAAGAUGUAACGGGGCUAAACCAU
rnacentral:rRNA from 1 species